rnacentral:rRNA from 1 species
CCAACAGGGAUUGCCUCAGUAACGGCGAGUGAAGCGGCAACAGCUCAAAUUUGAAAUCUGGCCUCACGGUCCGAGUUGUAAUUUGCAGAGGAUGUCUCGGGCGCGAUACCGGUCUAAGUUCCUUGGAACAGGACGUCACAGAGGGUGAGAAUCCCGUACGUGACCGGUGGUCAACCCCAUGUGAGGCUCCUUCGACGAGUCGAGUUGUUUGGGAAUGCAGCUCUAAAUGGGUGGUAAAUUUCAUCUAAAGCUAAAUAUUGGCCAGAGACCGAUAGCGCACAAGUAGAGUGAUCGAAAGAUGAAAAGCNCUUUGGAAAGAGAGUUAAAAAGUACGUGAAAUUGUUGAAAGGGAAGCGCUUGCAACCAGANUUGCCCNCGGGUGAUCANCCNUCNUUCGGGGCGGUGCNCUCGCCCGCGAUCAGGCCAGUAUCGGUUU